UACCUCCACGAGGAUGGUGAUAC
rnacentral:piRNA from 1 species